UACGUAGGGUGCGAGCGUUGUCCGGAAUCACUGGGCGUAAAGGGCGCGUAGGUGGCUGGGUAAGCGUGCGGUGAAAGCCUGGGGCUCAACUCCAGGUCGGCCGUGCGUACUGCCUAGCUUGAGCACGGUAGAGGCCGAUGGAAUUCCGGGUGUAGCGGUGGAAUGCGUAGAGAUCCGGAAGAACACCGGUGGCGAAAGGCGGCAUCCUGGACCGGCAUUGACGCUGAGGCGCGAAAGCUAGGGGAGCAAACGGG
rnacentral:rRNA from 1 species